GAGGGUUUAGCUCAGCGGUAGAGCACAUACUUAGCAUGCACAAGGUCCUGGGUUCAAUCCCCAGUACCUCCA
rnacentral:tRNA from 1 species